GUGCUCACUUUGAUGGCACAUACACUAAAAUUGGAACGAUACCGAGAAGAGUAGCACAGCCCCUGCACAAGAAUGAUGUGCAAAUUCAUGAAGUGUUCCAUAUUUCU